GACAGAGGGUGCAAACGUUGUUCGGAAUUACUGGGCGUAAAGCGUGCGCAGGCGGUUCGUUGUGUCGGCGGUGAAAGCCCCGGGCUUAACCUGGGAAUGGCCGUCGAAACUGGCGAACUGGAGUGUGGCAGAGGGGGGUGGAAUUCCGCGUGUAGCAGUGAAAUGCGUAGAGAUGCGGAGGAACACCGAUGGCGAAGGCAGCCCCCUGGGCUGACACUGACGCUCAGGCACGAAAGCGUGGGGAGCAAACAGG
rnacentral:rRNA from 1 species